CAGUCGCCGCGGUAAUACGAGGGGGGCAAGCGUUGUUCGGAAUUAUUGGGCGUAAAGGGUGCGUAGGCGGUUUGGCAAGUCUUGUGUGAAAUCUUCGGGCUCAACCCGAAGCCUGCACGAGAAACUGCCGGGCUUGAGUAUUGGAGAGGUGAGUGGAAUUUCCGGUGUAGCGGUGAAAUGCGUAGAUAUCGGAAGGAACACCUGUGGCGAAAGCGGCUCACUGGACAAUAACUGACGCUGAUGCACGAAAGCUAGGGGAGCAAACAGGAUUAGAUACCCCAGUAGUCCCUGUCUCUUAACA
rnacentral:rRNA from 1 species